AAGCAAAAGAGUAGGGUUGAGAAGUGAAUGUCCAUCUACUUUACCAAGCAAAGUGCAGUCCUUAAGAAUUUACUCCACUGCCUAAAGUUCCAUGUCUGGCCACCUAGUUCUCCCAAGGAUUCCACUAAGAUUCCAGAUUCAGAUACAGAGAGUCUUCAAAUGUGUUCUAUAGAAACCAGACUUCAUUGUAAAGUUCUCUAUUAGCUGCAAAACAAACAA
rnacentral:lncRNA from 1 species